UCCUCCCCCCUAAAUAAUUAAUAUUAGAAGCUCCCGGCUCUUUCCCAGAAUUCUCUGCUCAGUGGGGAGGGGGUUUAACCCUUGUGCUGCUGGAGCCCCCAGUUGUGUCAGUCACAGACAAGAGAUUUAGUGACUUUAUUUCAUAUGGGGGGGCCCUUUAUUUGUAUUAUUUGGGCCCCAGUGACCUUGGGAAAGAGAAAACACAGGAUUGUGGGUCGGGACUGAGAAGUAAAAUAGACAUUUCAGUUACACAGAGGCCCAAUCACCCCCCCCCGCCCACUAAAUAGUGACUUUCUAUGGGACCUUAUAGGAGCCCCUCCAGCAUUUGUCACAACCCACAGAUUGCCAGUCCGGGACACAAAGGGUUAAAAAGUCUCUGGCUCAUUAUUUCCCCAAUGUAAUUAGGAGUUGGGGCCCUUUAGUCUCGGGGGGUCGCUCAGCUUCUCUCACCUGCCCCCCCCCCCGGCUGUGCAGAAUCCUUAGUAUAAUGGGGGGGGGAUUAUUUGGCUCAUGAGGGAAUUUCAUGCCCCCCCCCCCUGUAUAAUAAGAUCAGUGAGACUCAGACAUGGGGAUUAUUUGUUCUAUUUAUUGUCUCACUCAUAAUCCUGAGUAUACGGGGGAGGGGGGCUCCAUGGAACUCACUGACACAUUUGUCUCUACUUUGCCCCCCCCCAGAGUAAAGUCCUCGUCUCGUUCUCAUUGACUCAAUGGACUUUGUGUCAUUCCCAGAAGUGACCACUGGGGGGGGCAGUCGUCUCUAUUGUGAGUCAGACGCAGACGGACCAAUCACACGUGGGGGGGGCACACAAGGUUAAUGAGGGGGUGCGGCUCAGACUCAGGGACAUUGGGAGUCACAUCAGCCCGUGGCACCCGGACACUCUCAGCUCAGAGACACCCCCAGCGGCCCCCACAGGAGACUCACUGACAGCAGCACAGAGACCAACUGCAUCAGGGGCCCCACCACUGACAAACUUACUCACAGCUCAGCCCCCCCCAUUAUAUCAGCCUGGCACCCCCUGUACUUACCCCCCCCACUUGUGUUCUUCAUCCCCUUUGUGUCUGUAACUGGGACUGACCCCCAAUACUCACUCACUUGGGACUCACAGACCCUCACAGGAGUAGUUGAUACUGGCGCCGCCUCCUGACACUUUCAAAUCCUAAUUCUGCCUGGACUUCGGCUACUGCUGCUGGGAGUUGUAUUCUGCUGGGAGUUGUAUUCUGCUGGGAGUUGUAUUCUGCUGGGAGUUGCACGCUGCUGGGAGUUGAAUUCUGCUGGGAGUUGUAUUCUGCUGGGAGUUGUAUUCUGCUGGGAGUUGUACGCUGCUGCUACUUAUAAAGGUAUCGGAGGUUCUGGUGUCACACGGGUCAGUAACAGAGUCGGGUCUCACUAUGGCUCCUUUUGGGCUGUGGCUGCUCUGUCCCAUCUGGAGGG